rnacentral:rRNA from 15 species
UUUGACCUCGGAUCAGGU